AUUGAACGCUGGCGGCAGGCCUAACACAUGCAAGUCGGGCGAGCGGCGGACGGGCGAGUAAUGUAUGGGGAUCUGCCUGAUGGCGGGGGAUAACUACUGGAAACGGUAGCUAAUACCGCAUACCAUCAGAUGAACCCAUAUGGGAUUAGCUAGUAGGUAAGGUAACGGCUUACCUAGGCGACGAUCCCUAGCUGGUCUGAGAGGAUGAUCAGCCACACUGGGGUUGGGACACGGCUCAGACGCCUACGGGAGGCAGCAGUGGGGAACAUUGCACAAUGGGUGCAAGCCUGAUGCAGCGACGCCGCGUGGGGGAUGAAGGCUUGCGGGUUGUAAACCUCUUUCGCUAUCGAACGGGUAUGUGGAGAAGAAGCGCCGGCUAACUACGUGCCAGCAGCCGCGGUAAUAC
rnacentral:rRNA from 1 species